AUGGCUAUCGCCAAGCGGUAAGGCACAGGACUUUGACUCCUGCAUUCGUUGGUCCGAAUCCAACUAGCCCAG
rnacentral:tRNA from 7 species